rnacentral:rRNA from 1 species
UUCGUAGGCGGUGCGGCAAGUUGGGAGUGAAAUCUCUGGGCUCAACCCAGAGGCUGCUUCCAAAACUGCUGUGCUCGAGUGUGAGAGAGGCGCGUGGAAUUGCAGGUGUAGCGGUGAAAUGCGUAGAUAUCUGCAGGAACACCCGUGGCGAAAGCGGCGCGCUGGAUCACUACUGACGCUGAGGAACGAAAGCUAGGGGAGCAAACAGGAUUAGAUACCCUGGUAGUCCUAGCCCUAAACGAUCAGGACUUGGGGUGGCACCCGUUCGGGUGUCGUCCCGGAGCUAACGCGUUAAGUCCUGCACCUGGGGAGUACGGUCGCAAGACUGAA